rnacentral:lncRNA from 10 species
CAGUUAAGAGCCCUGGGUCUGGAGCAAAACUGCUGAGGUUUGAGGCCCCGUUUUGCUGCUCACUAGCUACAUGAUCUUGGGCAAGUUAUUUAAGCUCUCUGAGCUUCAGUUUCUUCCUCUGCAGAAUGGGGAUGAAAGUGGACUACUACCUCAUGGCAUGUUUUGAGGAUGAAAUGAGCUAAUAAACACAGUCUUCAGCCCUACAUUAGGAUGGCCUAAGGAAAACAAGAAGACUGAAUGAUAUUCCCUGGUUCUCACUCUGUCAUCCAAGCUAGAGUGCAGUGGGGUAAAACACGGCUCACUGCAGCCUCGAUCUCUUGGCUCAAGCUAUCCUCCUGCCUCAGCCUCCUGUUUAUCUGGGACCACAGCUGACUUAUAUAAGUUAUUAGUCUUCUAGAAGGAUCACAAGGAACCAGCAUCAAAGAAAUGGAAUCCAGCUAAUUCCCCCAAGAAACUGAAGUUUUCGGGACAUGACUUGUGAAAGGCAAACAUAAGCUGACAUCUUUUCACACUGAACAGCAAGAGCCAAAGUGUAUCCGAAAAGCCAUUGUCAAAACAAGGAGUGAGAACAGCUGGGGUCAAGACCUAAUGAAGGGCAUCACUCAGCCUCUUUGAGCCUCGGAUUCCUCAUUUGUAAAGUGGGCAUAAUAAUACCUCACAGGGUAGUUAUGAGGGCAAAUGAGAUAAUGGACACGAAGGCACCUGUACACUCCACGGUGCUAUCAGAAUAUUGACUAUUAGUGCUUUCAUCACGCGGCUCCAUCCAAACCCCUGCUUUCCCUCACUCCAACAGGCUUUUACUCUGUCACCCAUGCUGGAGUGCAGUGGUGCAAUCUUGGCUCACUGAAACCUCUGCCUCCUGGAUUCAAGCGAUCCUCCCACCUCAGCCUCCCGAGUAGCUGGGACUACAGGUGAGGGCCACCAUGCCUGGUAAUUUUUGUAUUUUUAGUAGAGACAGGGUUUCACCAUGUUGACCAGGCUGGUCUCAAACUCCUGACCUCAGGUGAUCUGCCCGCCUUGGCUUCCAAAAGUGCUGGGAUUACAGGCAUGAGCCACCAUGCCUGGUCGACACUUAAUCAUUCUCUACUUGUUUUUUUAAAAUUUUAUUUUUACAGUGUCACUCUCAGGAUAUCUACUUCUUAAAAUACUUUUUCUCCCUCUUGGAUUCCGUAACAACCCAUUUUGCGGGUCCCUCUUAAUCUGCUUUGCUGACUUCUGUCCGUUGUUCCAAGUCAGGUGGUCUCAGCUUGGUCUAGCAUCCUCUUCUCUAUUUGUACAUUCUUCCUAAAUGAUUUCAUCUAGCUUCAAAUCUUUAAAAGCCAUCUAUUUGCCAUGACUACUAACUUUGGAUUUGUAGCCUAGGCUCCUCCCUAGAACUCUACUAAUAGCCUACUUGAUAUCUAAAAAUGAAUUUCUUUCUUUCUCUCUUUUUUUUUUUGAGACGGAGUCUCACUCUGUCGCCCAGGCUGGAGUGCAAUGGCGUGAUCUUGGCUCACUGCAACCUCUGCCUCCUGGGUUCAAACAAUUCUCCUGCCUCAGCCUCCCAAGUAGGCAUGAGUAGGAUUGCUAAUUUUUGUAUUUUUAGUAGAGAUGGGGUUUCGUCAUGUUGGCCAGGGUGGUCUCAAAACUCCUGACCUCAGAUGAUCCACCUGCCUCGGCUUCCCAAAGUGCUAGGAUUACAGGCGUAAGCCACUGCUCCCGGCUAUGAAUUGAAUUUCUAAUAAGCAGCUUAAACUUAAAAAAGAAGUUUUGGAGUUUUAUCUCCCAAACCCCUGCUUCUUCUCCUCUUCUUCCUUUCUCAGUAAAUAGCACCACUAUCUACCCUCAGAGCAAAAAAAAAACCUAGUAGCUCUCUCUCCUCAUCUUCCACAUUCAAUCCCUCAACAAGUCUUAUGUUCCAAAAACACACUUCUCUUUAGCAGAUGCCAUAAUGUGCUACGCAGAGCCCUUCCCAGGACUGCAGGACUUAUUCCCACAGCUGCUGGGCAUGCUGCCACCUCACAGCCCUCUGCCCUCUCCGCAAAUUGCCCUCAGCUGCAGAGAGCCACCUUACCCAAGAUCACAUCCCUUCCUGCUUGCAUAUAAAGGCCCACUCCCUCAGUAACCCAAGACAACUCUGGAAGGCCACCCCAGCACAUCCCAGUGCUGCCUGUGGGGUCAGCUAAGGCCCUCAUGGAGACCUCCUCAGAGCCCAGCAUCUCCUCCUGCCUAGACUGUGUCCUUCCCUCCCCUUCUGGAAACCAAAUCUGCAACAUUAUCCCAAGUGUACCUGCCUCUUUCUAUCUUGCUGUUACGAUUUUGGUUAAGCCACCACCUUCUCUCACCUUGACUGCUGCAUUGCCUUUCCCCGUCUCCUUGCUUUUGCUCUUCAUUCGACCAUUCAUUUCUUUCACAACUGUCAGCUAUUCAUACUGUUUUGCUGUGUCUCCACCCAAAUCUCAUUUUGAAUUGUAACUCCCACAAUUCCCGCGUAUUGUGGGAGGAACCCGGUGGGAGGUGACUGAAUUAUGAGGGCGGGUCUUUCCUGCGCUGUUCUCGUGAUAGUAAAUGAGUCUCACGUGAUCUGGUGGUUUAUUUAUUUUAUUUUAUUUAUUUAUUUUUUUGAGACAGAGUCUCGCUCUGUCGCCCAGGCUGGAGUGCAGUGGCGCGAUCUCGGCUCACUGCAAGCUUGGCCCCCUGGGUUCACGCCAUUCUCCUGCCUCAGCCUCCCGAGUAGCUGGGACUACAGGCGCCCGCCACUACGCCCGGCUAAUUUUUUGUAUAUUUAGUAGAGAUGGGGUUUCACCGUGUUAGCCACGGUGGUCCCGAUUUCCUGACCUCGUGAUCUGCCCGCCUUCACCUCCCAAAGUGCUGGGAUUACAGGCGUGAGCCACCACGCCCGGCGAGAUCUGAUGGUUUAAAAAAACAAGAGGUCCCCUGCACAAGCUCUCUCUUUGCCUGCUGCCAUUCAUGCAAGAUGUGACUUGCUCCUUUUUGCCUUCUGCCAUGAUUGUGAGGCCUCCCCAGCCACGUGGAACUGUGAGUCCAGUUAAACCUUUUCUUUUAUAAAUUGCCCAGUCUUGGGUAUGUCUUUAUCAGCAGUGUGAAAAUGGACUAAUACAGCUAUGUUUUAUUUUUUAUUUUCUUAGGGAUAGAGUCUUGCUCAGUCCAUUCUCAGCUGGAGUACAGUGGCACAAUCAUAGCUCACUGCAGCUUCAAACUCCUGGACUGAAGCAAUCCUCCCACCUCAGCCUCCCACCUCAGCCUCCCCAGUAGCUGGGACUACAGGCAUGCGUUAUCAUGCCAGGCUGAUUUUUAUUUUUUAUUUUUUUCAAGAUGGGGGUCUUGAUACGUUGCCCAGGCUGGUCUAGAACUCCUGGCUUCAAGCGAUCCUUUUGCCUUGGCCUCCCGAAGUGCUGGGUUACAGGUGUGAGCCACUGCACCUGACCCUAGUUAUCUUUUUAAGAUAUUCUGUUUAUUUGAUCUUAUUUCAUUAGAUUAUAUUUGAUACAAAAAUGUAACAUAUAUACAAUUUAAGAAGUGUAAAACAAAUGAGCCUAUGAACUGUCCACUCAAAUUCUGAACUAUUGACAUAGCCUGUAUGCAUUUCCCUGAUUGUAACCCCUCCCUACUCUUCAGAAGUAAACACAAUUCUGGAUUUUUUUUUUUGUUAUUCCUAUACUUACAUCUUUAUAAUUGUAGCAUAGAUGUAUUUAUUGCUAAACAAUAUACAGUUUAGUUUCUCUUUUUUUUUGAGAUUUAUAUGUGGAGCCAUAGUAUAUUUUCUGCAAUUUGUUUUUUUCCGCAUUCAACAUUGUAUUUCUGAUCUAAUGUAAUCAUUUAUAUUGAAGUUUGUAACUGAGGUUUAUUCAUUUCCAUGCUUACAGAGGUAUUAAAUUAGUCAAUUAAAAAUACUGCAAAUUGUAAAUAGUUUAUUUAUCCUUGUUGAUGGACAUUUUCCUUGUAUUUUUAGCAAUCUGUUAGACGAAGGUUUUCCAUUUUUGUACAUGGUUUUUGGUGCUUAUGUGCAAGAAUUUCUCCAGCAUAUAUACCUAGGAAUAAAACUGAUGAAUUUAGUGCAUGCAAAUGUUCAGUUGUAGAAGAUAAUGCCAAGUUGUUUUUCUUUUCCUCUCUUUUUUUUUUUUUUUUUUGGACAGAGUCUCAUUCUCACCCAGGCUAGAACCGCCUCCGGGGUUCAAGCAAUUCCUGUGCCUCAGCCUCCGGAGUAGCUGAGAUUACAGGCACACGUCACCACGCCAAGCUAAUUUUUGUAUUUUUAGUAGAGAUGGGGUUUCACCAUGUUGGCCAGGCUGGCCUUGAACUCCUGACCUCAAGUGAUCUGCCUGUCUUGGCCUCCCAAAGUUCUGGGAGUAGAGAGAUGAGCCAGUGCGCUCUGUCUAUUUUGACAGUUAUUUUAUCUCAGCAGUUUAAAUAUAUCAUGCUAAUGUGUCUGGUAUUUAUUGUUGGCCCAGAAAUUAUUCCUUUGCAGGUGGUGCAAAGGAUCAGCACGGGAGUUUUGACCUGCUCCGUUUCCGACCUGGGUCGGUUCACCCCUCCUUAGGCAACCUGGCGGUUCCCCGCUCCAGGGAGGUCACCCUCUUGAUGCUGAAUUUAGCACGGACACCUGAUGGGCACAGUGCACUGCAGCCCAGAGCUCCUGAGCUCAAGCCAUCCUCCUGCCUCAGCCUCCAAGUAGCCAGGACCACAGGCACGCACCCUGAGGAGGAAGAAAUACCAGGUGCGCAUGCUCCAAGAAAAAGCCAUCUGAGGACGCGGCAAGAAGGCCGCCAUCUACAAGCCAAGGAGAGGGGCCUCAGGAGAAAUCGAACCUGUCACACCUUGAUCUUGGACUUCCAGCCUUCAGAACUGUGAGAAAGUAAAUUUCUGUGUUCAAGCUACCAGGUCUGUGGGAUUUUUUAUGGCAGCCCUAGCAGACUAAGACAGGCAUCAAUGGUUCCAAUGUUUUCAUUUUUUUUCCGGUAAGCAGACCGAAGCCCAGAGAGAUGAAGCAAUUUGCCCAAAGUCACAUACCAAGUUAACUGAAGAGUUGGGGUUAGAAUCCAGCUCUUGUGACUUCUCUCUUUUCAGUUUCCCUUCCCACUCCCCCCACUGAAAAGCUUUUGAGUGACUCUUUUAGAAAUCCCGGUUCUGUAUAUGAAGCAGAAUUGAGCACAGCUGCUCUAAUGAAGGGCUCAGAGCUCCCAGGCUUUUCUCUCUCCCCUGCCCCUUUUCCCUGUUGCACCUCUGCAGUGUCCUGAGGGUUGAUGGAAUCUAGUUUGAAAGCUAUUGCUCUACCUCACUGCCUCCUGAAUGCAAUGUCACAAAUUUUCCCAACUUGCCAUUUCUCUCACACUGACAUAAAGCAUUAGAAACCUGUUGUGAAGUAGGAAAGCUAACUGGGUCAGUAGCUGAUAAGAUAAUCUGGCCUAGGGGAUAGAUGAUUAGGAUUUCAGAGAAGGAAAGGUCACCCAAUUGAUUUGACUCUGUCCUGGGGCGAUGAUAUGGUGAAGAUUUCUACAGAUGCAGCAGAAACAUCCGGAAACCAGGUGUGUCCCAGCUCUGGUCUGGGAACCAUUUCAUAAAUUGGCAAAUAUCCAGGAUAUACACAUGGCUAAUUCUGAGGUGUACUGAAGUUUCAAUAAAGCUACUUUGGUAAUGACUAGGAGAAGAAAAUCCUAUGGCUGGACUUCAUUAAUGUUGUAUGGCCAAGGACAGUGUUUCUCUAAUUAUGGCCUGUGAACCUCCCUGGAUCUCGAUCACCUGCAUAUUUGGGAAUAUGCAGGUUCCAGGGUCCCACCUGAAACUACAGAAUCAGUAUUGAGAUCCCAGGUGAUUCUCAUGUACACUCAAGUGUAAGAUUAUUAGCACCUGGACUUUGGAAGCAGCCAGAUAAAAGUUUGGAUCCUGGGUUGGCUACUUCCUAGAUGUGGCCAAGUCAUUUUACUUGCCAUGCUUUUGCUUUUCUUGUCUGUAAAGUGGACAUGAUACCUAUUUUACAGGGUGGUUUUGAGGAAUAAGGUCAGCAUUAAACAUUUAUCCUCUUUAGGGAGACAGAGAGAGGAGAUGAAAUAGAGUAGAAUUGAGAAAAGCAGUUUCUUAGACCUCCCUGUGAAGUUUUUCUUAUUUCAACAAAUAAUAAAAUAAAAAAUUCAUACACUUUCUUAGUGCUUGUUUGGACUUAAGAAUUUAAAAAUAACUUGAGAGUUUUAUAGGCAUCAAGGAUGAUGUCUGAGUGCUGGAAAUACUUGACCUUUGGCUGGAAGGUGGAGUGAAGGUGCCAGCGGACUGAACCCUGGGAGACUGUCUUCUGUUUUAUGAAUGUGGUCAUGCUCUGAGUUAAAUGAUGUCCCUGGUAAGGACAUCUCCCAGAAAAGCUUAGAAAUCAGCUGUAAUCCUUGUUCCCUGCAAGACCCUUGACUUGGAUGUUAAGAGUUCCCUAUAAUGAUAAUAGCUACCUUUACUGAGCACUACUUGUUAGCCAGGCAUUGUGCUAAGUGCUUUAUGUGCAUUAUGUUAUGCAAUCCUGCAAAUACCGUUACGGGGCAGGUAAUAUUAUUAAUGCUAUUUUAACAAUGACAAAAGUAACUCACUGAUUAGGACUCUGAGUAGUAUCCAUACCACUGUAAGGAUAACAAAGAGCAAAGGCAGAUUAGGUCCGGCUCUGCUGUUUGUUGGGUGUUUUACUUAGAUUUAACCCCUAGACAAGUCUGAGUCUUGAUAUGGUCUUGCCUAUUACUCUACUUCUUUCUCUGCUGUGCACAGAUGGAGACUGGCAUCUGUAUUAAUACCAGGUUGUGUGCUUAAAGUCCAAUGAAUAGCAUUUUUUUUUUUUUUUGAGAUGGAGUCUCAUUCUGUUGCCCCGGCUGGAGUGCAGUGGUGCGAUCUCUGCUCACUGCAACCUCCGCCUCCCAGGUUCAAGCAAUUCUCCCACGUCAGCCUCCUGAGUAGCUGGGAUUACAGGGGUAUGCCACCAUGCCUGGCUAAUUUUUGCAUUUUUAGUAGAGAUGGGGUUUCACCAUGUUGGCUAGGCUGGUCUCGAACUCCUGACCUCAGGCGAUCCACCUGCCUUGGUCUCCCAAAGAGCUGGGAUUACAGGCGUGAGCCACUGCACUGAGCCCAGUGAAUAGCAUUUAAUAAAUGUUUGUAAAUGCUCUGAAUGUACUAUGAUAAUACAACAAAGUUGUACACAUAAGAUUAUCAUAGCAAAAAAUGGAGAGUAACCUUGGUUACUUCUAUAUAGUUAUUUAAUUUUAAUUUUUUUUUUUGAGAUGGAGCCUUGCUCUGUCACCCAGGCUGGAGUAUAGUGGCGUGAUCUUGGCUCACUGCAACCUCCACCUCCUAGCCUCCUAGGUUCAAGCGAUUCUCCUGCUUCAGCCUCCUGAGUAGCUGGGACUACAGAUAUAUACUACCAUGCCCCUUUAAUUUUUGUAUUUUUGGUAGAGAUGAAGUUUCACCAUUUUGGCCAGGCUGGUCUUGAACUCCUGACCUCAAGUGAUCAGCUCACGUCUGCCUCCCAAAGUGCUGGGAUUACAGGUGUCAGCCACCGUGCCAGGCCAAUUUUUUUUUUUUUUUAGAGACAGAGUCUUGCCUUGUCAGCCAGGUUGGAGUGUAGUGGUAUGAUCACAGCUUAUUGCAACCUCGAACUCUUGGGCUCAAGUGAUCCUCCAGCCUCAGCCUCCCGAGUAGCUAUGGCUACAGGUGCAUACAAUCAAAUGCCUGGCUAAUUAAAAACAUUUUUUUUUCUGUAGAGAUAGUUUCUCGCUAUGUUGUCCAGGCUGGUCUUGAAAUCCUGGCCUCAAGCAAUCCUCCUGCUUCAGCGUGGGAUUACAAGCAUGAGCCACUGUGCCCAGCCUAUACAGCCAUUUAAAAUGAUUGUAUAGCUCUAUAAUAAAUGAAUAACAUACAUACCAUAAUAAAAGAAUAAAGCAGGAUAUGAAGUAGCAUGAUUAAUGGAAUCUCAUUUUUGAAAAUCAAAUAUGUUUAUAUGUACAUAGAAAAAAUAUGGAAGGAUCUACCCCAUAAUGUUAGUUGAGCUCUGAAUGGUAGAUUUAGGAUUUUUUUUUUUUUUUUUUUUUUUUGAGACAGUCUCACUCUGUCACCCAGGCUGGAGUGCAGUGGCGUGGUCUCAGCUCACUGCAACCUCUGCCUCCCGGGUUCAGGUGAUUCUCUUGCCUCAGCCUCUGGAAUAGCUGGGAUUACAGGUGCCCGCCACCACACCUGGCUAAUUUUUGUAUUUUUAGUAGAGACGGGGUUUCUCUAUGUUGGCCAGGCUGGUUUUGAACGGCUGACCUUGUGAUCCGCCUGCCUCAGUUUCCCAAAGUGCUAGGAUUACAGGUGUGAGCCACCAUGCCCUACGAUUUAGGAUGUUUUUUGACUCUGAAAAAGAAAAAUUGUCUGAUUUUUCUUUUUCUGUUUUUAUUUUUACAGUGAGCUGAACACACAUCAUUUUUAUAACUGGGAAAAAUGUGCCACUAUUAUUUUGAAAAUUAAAUUCCUUGGAAAUAAAAAGCUAAACAUUCUACCAUCUUCCAUGUUAUUGUGGGUUUGUAUUUGCUUCUCUAAGAGAGUGAUUAGGAGAUGCUCUGAAGACUCUCAGCACACCAAAAGGAUAGCUAUUCUAAACAUUCCUUUUAGCACCUUCACAUACAUUCAAUGCAUUCCUCAAUGUAUCACCCAAUGCAUUCUUGUUGAAUAAGUGAAUGAGCAUUGAGAAGAAAAUCUGUGAUCAAUAUGCAAAGUGUUGCAAAAGAAGAACACUUUCAUAAGGAUGAGAAGUCAUAACAAUAGAAAAUAAUAACUUUCAAUUUCUUUUUCUUAGAUUCCUGGUAGCUGGAUUAAUUUGUGUUCAAAGUGAUUCACUGAGUCUAGUGAGAUCCUAGAACAAGGUUGGGGCUGUUUAAGUCACUCUAAGAGCUCCCUCCAGACAUUUCUGUCAGCCUGUCUACACCAUAUCUCUUUUCAUUAUUCUUGUUGCCUUUGGUGGCUGUCACAGACAGGAGAGCCAAAUAAUGCUCCUAGCAGCACAUAUCAUUUCUGCUUUGUCCAUCUCUUGCUCACUAUAAUAGGACAUUCUUCUUCCACAGAUAGAACAGAUUUCUGGUUCUUAGAAAGGCUUCCCAACCUCUGCCCAGGCGUUCAUUUUAUUUGUGAUUCAGAGAAUGGCUCUUGGCCAACACAAGAGAAUGCCAAUUCAGGGACUACUGUGGUUUGAAUGUCCCCUCUGAAACUCAUGUUGAAAUCUAAUUGCCAUUGUAAUAGUAUUAACAGUGGGACCUUUAAAAGGUGCUUAGGUCAUGAGGGGUCAUGAUGGAUUAAUGCUGUUGUCACUGGGAGUGGGGUCCCAAUAAAGGGAUGAAAUUUGGCCUGAUUUCCUGUCUCACACAUGAUAAAGGGAUGAUAUUCAGCCUGCUUUCCAGUCUCGCACGCCUGCUUGCCCUUCCGCCAUGUUAUGAUGCAGCCAGAAGGCCCUCACCAGAAGCAGCCCCUCAGCCUUGGACUUCCCAGCUUCCAGAACUGCACGAGGCUGGGGAGCUGGGGCGCUGCUGGUGGGCUUCAUGGUGCUGUGGUUCUGUCUAUUCUCAUCAGCCUGUGAGGCAAGAAAGUAUUGGCAGCACCUCACAGGCCUUGUCCUCUUCAUAGCCCCCUCCCGGGAGCCACAUCAGUCUCCAUUUCAG